rnacentral:rRNA from 1 species
AUUGAACGCUGGCGGCAGGCCUAACACAUGCAAGUCGAGCGGAUGAAGGGAGCUUGCUCCUGGAUUCAGCGGCGGACGGGUGAGUAAUGCCUAGGAAUCUGCCUGGUAGUGGGGGAUAACGUCCGGAAACGGGCGCUAAUACCGCAUACGUCCUGAGGGAGAAAGAGGGGGAUCUUCGGACCUCACGCUAUCAGAUGAGCCUAGGUCGGUUUAGCUAGUUGGUGGGGUAAAGGCCUACCAAGGCGACGAUCCGUAACUGGUCUGAGAGGAUGAUCAGUCACCCUGGAAGUGGGACACGGUCCAUACGCCUACGGGAGGCAGCAGUGGGGAAUAUUGGACAAUGGGCGAGAGCCUGAUCCAGCCAUGCCGCGUGUGUGAAGAAGGUCUUCGGAUUGUAAAGCACUUUAAGUUGGGAGGAAGGGCAGUAAGUUAAUACCUUGCUGUUUUGACGUUACCAACAGAAUAAGCACCGGCUAACUUCGUG